UACGUAGGGUGCGAGCGUUGUCCGGAAUUAUUGGGCGUAAAGAGCUCGUAGGCGGUGUGUCGCGUCGGCCGUGAAAACCUGCAGCUUAACUGUGGGCUUGCGGUCGAUACGGGCAUCACUGGAGUUCGGCAGGGGAGACUGGAAUUCCUGGUGUAGCGGUGAAAUGCGCAGAUAUCAGGAGGAACACCGGUGGCGAAGGCGGGUCUCUGGGCCGAUACUGACGCUGAGGCGCGAAAGCCAGGGGAGCAAACGGG
rnacentral:rRNA from 1 species